rnacentral:rRNA from 1 species
UUUAUGGAGAGUUUGAUCCUGGCUCAGGAUGAACGCUGGCGGCGUGCCUAAUACAUGCAAGUCGAGCGAACGGAUGAGAAGCUUGCUUCUCUGAUGUUAGCGGCGGACGGGUGAGUAACACGUGGAUAACCUACCUAUAAGACUGGGAUAACUUCGGGAAACCGGAGCUAAUACCGGAUAAUAUUUUGAGCCGCAUGGUUCAAAAGUGAAAGACGGUCUUGCUGUCACUUAUAGAU